UGCGGGAUCGACUAAUGGUAGCGUCGUCACACUCUGAAUGUGAAAAUCUAGGUUCGAGUCCUAGUCCCGCAG
rnacentral:tRNA from 1 species